UUAAAAAUGACUUCAGAAAGCUUACAUGAGUGUCCUCUGAAUAACGAGGAGAGGAGACUCGCAGAAAAAGCCAGGAAGACAGCUCUAAGCAUUCUGACUGAUGCACUAAAGAAAAAGGAUCAUCUCUUAGUGGCAAAUCCAGCAACAAUUCCAACAAUUAGCCCAAAAUUGGUGCAACGUCUAAUCAGAGAACUAAAGAAAGCAACAUUCAUGAAGAAC